rnacentral:rRNA from 1 species
ACACAUGCAAGUCGAACGAUUAAAGCACCUUCGGGUGUGUAUAAAGUGGCGAACGGCUGAGUAACACGUGGGCAACCUGCCCCUUUCAUUGGGAUAGCCACGGGAAACCGUGGAUAAUACCGAAUACUUCGAGACUUCCGCAUGGAAGACUCGAGAAAGCUCCGGCGGAGAGGGAUGGGCCCGCGGCCUGUUAGCUUGUUGGUGGGGUAACGGCCUACCAAGGCAAUGAUGGGUAGCUGGGUUGAGAGACCGACCAGCCAGAUUGGGACUGAGACACGGCCCAGACUCCUACGGGAGGCAGCAGUGGGGAAUCUUGCACAAUGGGCGAAAGCCUGAUGCAGCGACGCCGCGUGCGGGAUGAAGGCCUUCGGGUUGUAAACCGCUUUCAGCAGGGACGAGGCGAAAGUGACGGUACCUGCAGAAGAAGCCCCGGCUAACCACGUGCCAGCAGCCGCGGUAAUACGUAGGGGGCAAGCGUUAUCCGGAUUCAUUGGGCGUAAAGCGCUCGUAGGCGGUCUGUUAGGUCGGGAGUUAAAUCCGGGGGCUCAACCCCCGCUCGCUCUCGAUACCGGCAGACUUGAGUUUGGUAGGGGAAGGUGGAAUUCCUAGUGUAGCGGUGGAAUGCGCAGAUAUUAGGAAGAACACCAGUGGCGAAGGCGGCCUUCUGGGCCAUAACUGACGCUGAGGAGCGAAAGCUAGGGGAGCAAACAGGAUUAGAUACCCUGGUAGUCCUAGCCGUAAACGAUGGACACUAGGUGUGGGGGAGUAUUUCUUCCGUGCCGCAGCCAACGCAUUAAGUGUCCCGCCUGGGGA